rnacentral:misc_RNA from 1 species
AUAUAAUCAACCUUCUCUUUUUGAGUGGUUUGGAUGUGGGGGUUUGCUGGCCUCUUCUUAGAGAGUUCAGCUCCUCUGAAAUGCAUUAGCAGAACGAUCCUGUUCAUUGGUGUGAUAUAACUAUCUACGCUAUUGAAUGUGAGGAGCAGUUCAGCUUUCUAACGGUCCCUUGGACAAUUUAUCAUUA